GUGUGAGUGUGUGAGUGUGUGAGUGUGUGAGUGUGUGAGUGUGUGAGUGUGUGAGUGUGUGUGUGUGUGUGUGUGUGUGUGUGUGUGUGAGUGAGUGUGUGUGUGUGAGUGUCUCUGAGUUCUGAGUGUUUGUGUGUGUGUGUGUGUGUGCAUGUCUCUGAGUGUGUGUGUGUGUGUGUGCGUGUCUCUGAGUGUGUGAGUGGUUCCAGGAGCAGUGGGGAAGAAGGUCCCAUCUCUCUCUCUCUCUCUCUGGGACUUCUGCGCAUUUUGACCAAGUUCUGUCAAAAUCGUCCGAGCGACAUCCGGGUCUUAACGGGACUUUGUGGCGAUACGGAAGCACAUCACCUUACCGUAGGCGCGGUGGACCGCGGCGUCGCCUUGGCAACUGCUGUGUUCUUUAUGGAACCAGGGGGCUGAUGUUGGUUGUGUGGAGAUCCAGUUAAUCUAACGCCCCCCCCAUGCCCCCCAAACCCUGCACAGACCCAGCUAAGGCAGAGCUUUAAGGUCCUGUCAUCUGGUCACUGUUGGUGUUCAGCUGCUCUUGCAGGUGCACAGAAACGAUUAAAAAUGUUUUUUAUUUAGUGAUUUAUUAUCAGGCAUGUGCCUGUGACGUUCUGAGAGGCGGUGCUGGAAGAGAUGAUUGACAGGCGGACGUACACAGCAGUCUCAUCCUGCGUGAGUUCGGCUGCCUUCUCACCUGUCGGUCCCAAAGACGCAUUUUUCUGUACCGCCAGCAGGGGGCGCUGUAGCUCUGCUCAGUGAAGGCUAGGGGGCUGCGACUGCUGGCGUCUCCCCCAACACGAGCCGUCCCCUGCUCCCAGAGACCGUCCCGCUGCCCUGUGUCAUCAGUCUCUCGCCCCUAUUGAGAGUGAAUUGAAAUUCUCUUCGGCACAGAGAGCGGAGGACAUGCAGGUUUGGGCAGCAGGCGGCCUGGUUCAGGACCCAGAACUGGAGGACCGCUGUUCCCCAGCGGUUAGUGUGAACCCGCCGUGUCUGACGAGACCUUACCCUGAGCUGCUCUUCCGGGCUGCUCCUCCUGGCUGUUCCCCACGGGCUGCUCCUCCUGGCUGUUCCACACGGGCUGCUCCUCCUGGCUGUUCCACACGGGCUGCUCCUCCGGGCUGCUCCCCACGGGCUGCUCCCCCGCCCUGUCCACAGCAACGCCUCAUCAGAAAGGUUGUUUUUUUUUUUAAAGACUUUAAAAUUCAAUUAGAGAAUGCACUCAUCAAGGGGACUGGAAACCUCUCCGAAUGGUCAAAAUUGAAACUGCUCACAGCGACCGACCCCCAGGCCCCCCGCCCCCAGGCCCCCACCCCCUUGUUCAAACUCCAGGUCUGUGUUGUAAAUGCUUUCUUUCUUUGUGAAAGGUCUCUGCCGCCUCUGUUGUUUUAUAUGGACUCAAAACUGGCAGGGAUUGGUCACUGGUGGGGACUCCCAUGUUACCGAAUUCUAAAUAAAGAAUAUACAUUUAAAUUUUACACCUCUUGAGGUUUUCUAAGCUGUAACAAUCUUUAAAUCACUGCCGAUAAUUACCUUUAUAUUGUACAGGGAGGGGUGGGAUGGGGGCUAUUGGAGUCGUGGUCUUGGGUAUUGGAGUAUUGGAGUCCGCUUUUUGUUAUUUGUUUUUUUGUCUUUGUAAUAAAACAUCCUGUAUAUGUA